GGGAGCUUGGCCAGGAGCUGCCGUUUUAGCUGUGUUGACAUCGUUCUGUACACUAAACCGGGUAUAAUAGUCGUUAAAUGUUGUUAUGACAAAUAUAGACCAACCUCUGCUCCUUGGCAGGUGGAAGAAGCCAAUCCGCCAUUCUUCGCGUGCUUUAGCGAGCCCUGCGAGUCCCCCGAACCCACCAGCGAACUGUCAGAAAAGUGGUGCGUUCAAGGACACUCCGUACAAAGUGUCACAAUUGGGGUGAGGAUCACGUCUACGUGAAAUUACCAACACAGACAGGAGGAUGCCACAAAUCGAAACGUACUAGAAGUCCAUCAUAUUGAUGUAUUGGCAUAGGAAUUUGAAAAACACAGUGGAUUUUGUGAUCGUGUUGAAAAUGUUUCAGGUAUGAUGGCCGUGUUUUCUUAGUGUAAGUGAACACACCAGUGCUUUAGAAAAAAAAAGCUCAUUUGUGCCAAACUCCCUUUAGCUAGCUGUGGUCAACGUGUUACAAAUGUCAGCCAAAAAUGACUUUUAAAAUGUUCAAAAGUGCGACAGGAAGUGCUUUCAGCGAACCCCUAACAAAAGGAAAAGGCCAACUGGAGGAGAAUGAUGUCUGUCCUUCUCCACAAGGUGGCAUGCUUGACUGAACAAGACAUGUCCAAGUGUCAGCGGGGAGAAUGUUUGAAAGUAGGAAGACCAUGGACUACUACUACUGUCUGAUCAACACACAUUCUCUACCUCCUUCAGUGUAGGGUAGAGCUGCAGAUCCACCGCAGAUGGAGGAAGGGGAGCCGCGUCAGGUGUCGCCGCGACCCCAUUUCACCCGCCGCCGCUACCCGUCUAGGGCCAGUUCUCCACCUCGCCAAUCUGGGCCCUACUGCCUUGCCCAGCAGCUGGCACCAGCCAGGAGUCAUCAGGGUUAGUGCUCGGCUGGCAAGGCCGGGACUUGUACGUUUAUCGACCUGCACUCAGCAGUGCAUUAGCUCCAAAACGCAUCAUUCAGCAAAGUCCAUGCUCAGCAAUUUUAGUUGGUGAUGUGCGAGACUUUAAUUACCAUCCCAUACCCGCUCUACGGUGCGGUAUAGCUCGGUUGGUAGAGCGGCCGUGCCAGCAACUUGAGGAUUGCAGGUUCGAGCCCCGCUACCGCCCAUCCUAGUCAAUGCCUGUGGACGACUUUCCCUGUCGCCACUCGGGUUCCACUGACCACCCAGGAAGGACAUCGCUUUUGAACAAUGUUUUCCUGUUUAUUUUUCAAUAAAGCUUUUCUGCAG